rnacentral:rRNA from 1 species
AUUAGCUAGUAGGCGGGGUAAUGGCCCACCUAGGCGACGAUCCCUAGCUGGUCUGAGAGGAUGACCAGCCACACUGGAACUGAGACACGGUCCAGACUCCUACGGGAGGCAGCAGUGGGGAAUAUUGCACAAUGGGCGCAAGCCUGAUGCAGCCAUGCCGCGUGUAUGAAGAAGGCCUUCGGGUUGUAAAGUACUUUCAGCGGGGAGGAAGGCGAUGAGGUUAAUAACCUUAUCGAUUGACGUUACCCGCAGAAGAAGCACCGGCUAACUCCGUGCCA